AUUGAACGCUGGCGGCAGGCCUAACACAUGCAAGUCGAGCGGAUGACGGGAGCUUGCUCCUUGAUUCAGCGGCGGACGGGUGAGUAAUACCUAGGAAUCUGCCUGGUAGUGGGGGACAACGUUUCGAAAGGAACGCUAAUACCGCAUACGUCCUACGGGAGAAAGCAGGGGACCUUCGGGCCUUGCGCUAUCAGAUGAGCCUAGGUCGGAUUAGCUAGUUGGUGAGGUAAUGGCUCACCAAGGCGACGAUCCGUAACUGGUCUGAGAGGAUGAUCAGUCACGCUGGAACUGAGACACGGUCCAGACUCCUACGGGAGGCAGCAGUGGGGAAUAUUGGACAAUGGGCGAAAGCCUGAUCCAGCCAUGCCGCGUGUGUGAAGAAGGUCUUCGGAUUGUAAAGCACUUUAAGUUGGGAGGAAGGACAGUAAGUUAAUACCUUGCUGUUUUGACGUUACCGACAGAAUAAGCACCGGCUAACUCUGUGCCAGCCGCCGCAGUAAAAC
rnacentral:rRNA from 1 species